rnacentral:rRNA from 1 species
CACGGGUGAGUAACACGUAUGCAAUCCACCUGUAACAGGGGGAUAACCCGGAGAAAUCCGGACUAAUACCCCAUAAUAUGGGCGCUCCGCAUGGAGAGUCCAUUAAAGAGAGCAAUCUUGGUUACAGACGAGCAUGCGCUCCAUUAGCCAGUUGGCGGGGUAACGGCCCACCAAGGCGACGAUGGAUAGGGGUUCUGAGAGGAAGGUCCCCCACAUUGGAACUGAGACGCGGUCCAA